rnacentral:rRNA from 1 species
AACGAACGCUGGCGGCAUGCCUAACACAUGCAAGUCGAACGAGACCUUCGGGUCUAGUGGCGCACGGGUGCGUAACGCGUGGGAACCUGCCCUUAGGUUCGGAAUAACUCCCCGAAAGGGGUGCUAAUACCGGAUACUGUCUUCGGACCAAAGAUUUAUCGCCUUUGGUUGGGCCCGCGUUGGAUUAGCUAGUUGGUAGGGUAAAAGCCUACCAAGGCGACGAUCCAUAGCUGGUCUGAGAGGAUGAUCAGCCACACUGGGACUGAGACACGGCCCAGACUCCUACGGGAGGCAGCAGUGGGGAAUAUUGGACAAUGGGCGAAAGCCUGACCCAGCAAUGCCGCGUGAGUGAUGAAGGCCUUAGGGUUGUAAAGCUCUUUUACCCGGGAUGAUAAUGACAGUACCGGGAGAAUAAGCUCCGGCUAACUCCGUG